AUAAGAUAUAAUUUUGAUUCAUUCUCACCAGACAGUUGUUAUGUUGGCCAUUGUCAUUUUUUAAUUUGAACAAUAUAAGGGAAAAGAGGUCAGUGGCCCUAACUAGUCAAGUAUUGCAUGCUUUGAAAAGUUCUUGCUGCUCACAGGUUGAAAAUCGCUGACACAGAAUUUUGGGCCUGUCCUCUCAAAAGAGUUGCUCUAAAAUGUCGAUGAGUUGUUAUAGCAGACCUAACUUUACCAUAUUAUCCGUGAUUAUUACCUAAUGUUUUUGGAAUAAAAAUAAUGUAAAAUAUGACUUCUUUUGGUCAUUGUUCAUUAGUAAAGUGCUUAAGGCUGGCCAAAUUACUGCCCUUGAAGGAUGUGCUUGUAUGCAUAUUUGAUUAUGCUUUUCAAACUAGUAUGCUGGACUUUUUCUUGGUCAUGUUCACUUUCGUAGAUGCUAUGUAAAUGAAUGGAUGUUGCUAUGUUCAGUAAAAUAUUAUUCACAAAAACAGGUGGCCAGCCCACAGGCCAUAGUUUUCUGACAUUUAUUCUUGUGACUUAAUAGCACUUUAUAGUUUACAAAACACUUUCCUAUACAUACUUUAUACAACAACCCUAAAUGGUAGAUAGGCCAUAUAUGAUUACAUGUGUUUAUAAAUGACACUGUACCUCAGAGAGAUUAGUAUUUAGCCCAGAUUGUCUGAUCCCAAACCAAUGUCACUUUCACAACUAUCUUUCCAUGUCAGAAAGUUCAGGAGUGACUUGGGAGACAAGUGAACUCACGUCUAAUGAUAUACUGGCAGAUGAAGCUAGCAAAUAAGCCCAGAAAUUUAGUGAGUUUAUAGCUCAGAUCUACCAGAAAGGUAAUAUAGAAGGUAUCCAGGACAAUUUAAGGAGGGGAUUCAUUGUUAGGACCUCAGUUCAUCUUUCAGAUUUUGCCAUAGUCAUCAAAUAGUCAUUAGGAGCUUUAAAAUCCCAGUUCAUGUCUGUUCAGAAAUUCUUUUGUAUUCCUUUUGAUUGACAUCACCCCUGUCUUCUUCAUUUGUAGAUCGUCUGAUUUUAGUUGGGCCUCUAUAAGCACUUGCCUACAAUUUUAAGUUUUAGAACUGCCUAUAGGUAUCUAAAAUUAGCUAG